GGGCUCAGCUGUGAAGUGUAAUUGACAGUUGGAGUUAUUCACUUUGCUGAGUCUUUCUCAUGUUCAUUUUAUCGCUCGUCCAUUGAAAUUCAUCUCCAAAUAUAAUCCCCGACCCCCUUAUUUAUAUGAAAUAAGCAAUACCAAAUUUUUCAUUUUCUUUUUUUUUUUUUGUGUACCCAAACAAGUAAAAGCACCUUUUCCUGAUUAAUAGGUAAGAAUCAACUUUUUUUUAUUUUUAACAAAAUAAAAAUAAAGACUUUAUUUCUAUCAGACAAACUUCUCAUCAGCCUAAAUUUUCAAAAGUAAAACCUUUUCAACAGGCUUUGAAAAUAAAUUACUGUAUCUAUUCUGCACCCUUACCCGGAUUCUCAUCAAAAUUCAAAGUGUGUCAUAACAGCGGAAGGGUACAUUUGGCGUCCUCACAUUGCAAUUGAAUUGGAAAAUGUGGAUUCCAAAUCAAUUACUUAUCGGCUGUCCAGCAUAAAUGGACAGAUCGGCUAUACCUCAUCGAUGCAAGCUUGACAUCAUUGACGUCCACUCAUCUGUGACACGCGUCUGCCUAAACAAGACAAACAUUUAUCUUAUACACGUAUGUCCGUGCUGGGGCCAUGUAUUUGGCGCCUUGGCCUUCAAUAGACACAUACACUUGUCACCUCUCAAUGGGCCACCCUGGUGGACGAGAGGGUCACGGCCCUCCAACUUCAGGUGGGAGACGGGUGAAAUUUGAGUCGGUGGAGACAUCAAAUGACUCCAGUGAAAUCAGAACAACUAGUGGUGGACUAAAAUAUUUGGUCCAAAUAAGGAGUCAUUGUGGAGUGGCCACAUGGUUGUUUUUAUACUUUGGUCAGC